rnacentral:rRNA from 1 species
GACGAACGCUGGCGGCGUGCUUAACACAUGCAAGUCGAACGAUGAAGCCGGAGCUUGCUCUGGUGAAUUAGUGGCGAACGGGUGAGUAACACGUGAGUAACCUGCCCUUGACUCUGGGAUAACUGCGGGAAACUGUAGCUAAUACCGGAUAGGACCACUGCCUGCAUGGGUGGUGGUGGAAAGCUUUUGCGGUGUGGGAUGGGCCCGCGGCCUAUCAGCUUGUUGGUGGGGUGAUGGCCUACCAAGGCGACGACGGGUAGCCGGCCUGAGAGGGUGACCGGCCACACUGGGACUGAGAUACGGCCCAGACUCCUACGGGAGGCAGCAGUGGGGAAUAUUGCACAAUGGGCGCAAGCCUGAUGCAGCGACGCCGCGUGAGGGAUGACGGCCUUCGGGUUGUAAACCUCUUUCAGCACCGACGAAGCGCAAGUGACGGUAGGUGCAGAAGAAGGACCGGCCAACUACGUGCCAGCAGCCGCCGCAG